rnacentral:rRNA from 1 species
UACGGAGGGGGCGAGCGUUAUUCGGAAUUACUGGGCGUAAAGCGUGCGCAGGCGGUUUGGUAAGACAGAUGUGAAAUCCCCGGGCUUAACCUGGGAAUUGCAUUUGUGACUGCCCGGCUAGAGUGUGUCAGAGGGGGGUAGAAUUCCACGUGUAGCAGUGAAAUGCGUAGAUAUGUGGAGGAAUACCGAUGGCGAAGGCAGCCCCCUGGGAUAACACUGACGCUCAUGCACGAAAGCGUGGGGAGCAAACAGG